ensembl:lncRNA
UUUUUUUUUUUUUGUAUUUUUAGUAGAGACGGGGUUUCACCGUGUUAGCCAGGGUGGUCUCAGUCUCCUGACCUUGUGAACCGCCUGCCUCAGCCUCCCAAAGUGCUGGGAUUACAGGCGUGAGCCACCACACCCGCUCUACUAUUCCUACUUUUAUAAAUGAGGAAACUGAGACUCAGGGAUGGAAGGGGAUCAGGCAUCUCUGUGUAGGUGAGCAGCACCUGUCCAGACUAAUCAGCCCCUUUGGCCAAGAACAAAGUGUUUUCUGGGCCAAGAGCCAUUCCGCCCAAGGGAGACGGAUCCCAUAAGCCAAUUUAGUGCUAAAGGUGUGGCUAAAAAAUUCUUGAUAAGAUUUUUAGAUAACUUUAUAAAACAUAUAUGUAAUAUUUUUCAAGCUGUUUUAAGGUACUUUGUAAAUUGGUCUGGUCUAUUUCUGUUCCUUUUUAGCAUUCUUUUCUUAAAUGAAAUAAUUAUCUAGAACCCCUUAUCAGCAAGAACUAACAUUGUUUAGCACGUUCCUAGUGACUUUCCUGACAGGAUCUUUGCACUCUGCUCAGAUGUGGUCCAGGUUGUCCCAGAUCAUUCCAUGGAUACACUAAAUAUAGCCCUAAAAUACUUUUUGCCCUCUUUCCUCCUUUUUCUGCCCAUCAAAUCCAAAUCUGCCCUAAAACCUUUCCUGAUCAUCCCAGCCCUCAAUGAUUUCUCAUCUUCCCCAAAACCUGAAACCCUGCCCACACUUGCUCCUGCUAUCCCAGUGCAGUUGCUGGGAAUGUGGGGGCAAGGUGUCUCCACAGCUGGGCGUGAGCUCCUUGGGAACUGUGCCUGUUAUCCAGUCUUUGUUCCAGCCGCUUCUGCCACCCCUGCUGCUUCCUAGAUAGGCCUGAGCCUUAAGAUUGGAUUGGCGGUGUAUGCCAUGUUCCAUUGUUAUCUCUUCAUUGAUUAAUUGAUGUAUAUGUGUAAAUGAGAAAGACAGUCAGCGUAUCUGGAAAGUACAAAAAAGAUCAGAAAAACCAGACCACCUUGAAAUAAAACAUCAUAUUCACUCUGGGGAAAUUUUAUUGAAUGUUUUCUACUAUUUCUCUCUUGAUAUCAAUGAAAUAGGAGCCCAAAGACCUGAGAAGGCUCCUAAGUCAGCCACAUGCUGUGUGACUUUAGACCAGUCGCCAUCUACCGCCACAACACUGUUGAAUUCUGGUUUGCACAUCGGUCAGUGAUUUCAAUUGCAACUCAGUUAAGGGUGUGUGUGAGGUUGAGAUAGGAGGUGUUUUCUAACUGAUACAGGUGCUCUGGACAAUGUAAUUAAAAGCCAGGCAAGGAUGCAUAAAUAAAGAGCUCACAGCCACACAGGGCUGACCGUGUGCAUCAGAUGAGGCUAUGAGUGUGCCCUGUAAACUGCAGAGUGAUCAUAAAAAGGGAAAGCACUGUACAAUGCAAGAUGCUGAUGAUGUGAUUACUUGUCAGGUCACGCCCUGUGUGGUCCAUCCACAGUGACAAGGCAGCUCAGCGGUUUCCCGGAGACUCGGUCCAUUCCUGGACUCCUGCCUGUUUCUGCACAGAGGACCCCUGUCUGUUUCCGCACAGGCUCCAGCCUCAGGCCAGAGGCAGGGGUGCAGACCUUAGGCCCCAGAGCAUGAGCGGAGCAGUGAGGGGCAAGGGGCAGGGCAGAUGAGAGAACCAUGCUGACUGCCUCCCCUGCCCAAAGCCAGGUGCAUCCUCUGAGGCUGAGGCUUUGGGUUCACCGUCCAACUCCAAGGACACUGCUGGCAGCAGAGCCCCCACUGUAGCAUCCUGACAGAUACAAAGCAAAGAGCUUGGCCCUCGCAGUGGGGGUUCCUGUUUGACACUCUGAGGCCAGGGACUCUGCAUUUGUAGUAAGAGCAACACUGACAGCUACCACUUUUUGGAAGCUACACACACACUGUCUCAUUGGAGCUUCCCGGCAGCCCCAUUUCACAGAUGAACCUGCUGAGACCAGAUAGGUCUCAUGACAUAACCGGGCAUGUACCACAGAGCGGCAGAGUCGAGCUCAGUGCAGGAUGCUCUGAUGCUACCUGUGCAUGUCUUCUCCCGGGGUCUGAUACGUGUUUGCCGCACCUCUGGCUUGCUCAGCAAGUGACUGAAGAGUCCCGUUUAGCAGCAAAUAGCAGAUGACAUGAGGCAGAGUCAGGUCGUGGAGGUCUUGACCAUGACCCAGAGGA